rnacentral:rRNA from 1 species
GACGAACGCUGGCGGCGUGCCUAACACAUGCAAGUCGAACGGAGAGAUACGAGAGCUUGCUCUUGUAAAUCUUAGUGGCAAACGGGUGAGUAACGCGUAAACAACCUGCCCAACGGAUGGGGACAACAGACGGAAACGACUGCUAAUACCCAAUAGACUCCGGUUUCGCAUGAAACCGACAGGAAAGGUUGCCUCUCGAAGAAGCUAACGCCGCAGGAGGGGUUUGCGUUUGAUUAGUUAGUUGGGGGGGUAACGGCCUACUAAGACGAUGAUCAAUAGCCGGUCUGGCGGGCUGCACUGCCACGCUGGUAGUGAGACACGGUCCAGGCUCCUGCGGGAGGCAGCAGUUGGGGAUCUUCCGCAAUGGACGAAAGUCUGACGGAGCAACGCCGCGUGGGAGAAGAAGGCCUUCGUGUUGUAAAGCUCUGUUAUUCGGGAAGAUCGAUUCGUUUGUAAAUAAUGAACGGAAGUGACGGUACCGAAAGAGAAGGCCACGGCUAACUACGUG